CAGAAUGACUACAUCCUGCUUACAUUCGUCAUUCAUAUAGGCAAUAUUGCGAUAUCAUUACGAUCUUUGAUGGACCUUGAGGAAGAGCGUGCUACAUGCAUAGCCAGAAACGAAGCUAAGUUAGCAGAGCUUGGUCUUUUGCAUUCACCUCCCCAGUCCAACAAAAUUACAAGCACUGGAUUGAAAUCCCGCCGACUUCGUAGAAGGAUCGACCAAGCAGUGCAGCCGGCGGUCGACCUUGUCCGCCCUACAUCACGGCACAGUAGGAGAGAGGUCACAGCCAUUACAGGAACUGUUACCACUGAAGAGUCCGAGGCAUACUGUGGAUUGAAAUCAGCACAUGAGCGCAUGGUAAAGCUGUGACCUUUUGCGCCGCCGAUUAUCCUGAUGAUUUUGCUUGCUUUACUUGUCAAGCAUGAUUCCCUCUUUCUUUGCUACCCAUUCCUUUCGCAUUAUCGAAGGAGGCUAUUCAGAACGUUCCUGAACCUAGUCAAGGUGACCUUCCUGGCCUUCAAGGCAUUCCAGUGGAGGUUCGGGAUAUGGCAUCAAAAAUAGGCUUCGAAAUCGGCAGUAGGCCGUUCCAGCUGUUCUACACAGCAUAUGAAAAAUGGAAGUCCGAUUUCAAGCCUGCUUUUAACAGUCCAGGAUCAGCCAAGGCUACCAUGGACAUGUUCAGCACCCUCUACGAAAUGGGCUUCAGGGAGAGAGACCUUCUUGACCAGCAGCAGGUCAACAGGGUGAGCCUCANAACGGUAAGCAUAGAAACCUGUUUCUUUACUGUGAAAAUACAGACUAAAAGAGAGGUUGUUACAAACCCUAAACACAACCAUUCCAGUCACUUGUUGAGGAGGUUUUGUGUAUCUGCUGCGUUUUAUAUGUUAACUUCUCCUUACUNNNNNNNNNNNNNNNNNNNNNNNNNNNNNNNNNNNNNNNNNNNNNNNNNNAGGCUUGAUGUUUCUUCACAAGAAUGGCCAUGUUGUCAUCUGCAGCCGCCUCACAACAUACAAUUAAUGGCAUACAUCGCACCUACAAUGCAGUGCAACCAUGAACUGCUUGAAAUUAAUGUCUUUGCCUGCUGGAUUAUAGAUUUUAUGCUACUGCUAAUAAUAUAAUAAUUAUGUUUCUUUUCAUACAUGUCCACAACAUUGAAUAAGCACUGGUCGGUCCCUCCAUAUUCACCAUGCAGGAAAACAUCGUGCACGACACCGACAAGGUGUCCGUCUUCAUUAUGCACAGGGCGAACAACAGCAAGAAGACCUCCAUGGUAUUGCCCAGUGGUACCAUUAAGGUUGGCAAGGAGCUAAAGAAGCACACGGUCGUAGAGCUUCCAGUGCAGAGCCUACUUGGCAGAUUCAACAAGCAGCAGGUCAAGGAGUGGGCUUUCUCCCAUGGCUGCACAAAUGUUCUAUGGAAUGACUCCAUGGUCCAGUACAAGGGCAAGCUGGCGUUGGUUGCUUAGACAGGUUCCAUGAUGAGCAGGGAUACAGAGAAAGUGGGCAGCUGCAGUCUAGGGCCAUAUAUGUGGUUCAGUGGUGUGUAGUAGGUGUUCACUAGGAAAAAAGGAAGCAGUGCAGUAGUAGUGUGGAACAGGUCACAGGUGAAGGUUGAUGAAGAACAUGUAUGUAUAAUUGCAUGCCAAGACAAGGUACUGAUGUUGCUGUGAUGAUUUUGGUAGCAGCCUCCAGAUGUAAAGAAUAGAGACAAUAGAUGCCUGUACAGGUACAGGCCAGCUGGCUGUGCACUUUACUGCACAAUUCCACAUGAUGAGCAAGUGAGGUGACCAGGGCGACCCAGACUGUUGUGUAUAAUACAUACUUAUGUAUAUAAUUCCUGACGAAUGUGGUUUUGUGCCUACCCAUGCAGUACAAGCUUCUAUCCCCAAUGAUGGCAAAUAGAUGCUGAUGGCAUGAAUAAUGAAGUCAGAGAGCUUUCCAAAAAAAGGGAAUGUGUGAUUUAACAAUGGACAGGGAUCAUGUAAAAGCUCAUAACAUUUACAGCGUCUGAACCUCAAAACAGCAAGUAAAAUCCUUAAACAGCAGUCAGCAAAUAUCNNNNNNNNNNNNNNNNNNNNNNNNNNNNNNNNNNNNNNNNNNNNNNNNNNNNNNNNNNNNNNNNNNNNNNNNNNNNNNNNNNNNNNNNNNNNACCAAUGCCUAAGUCUUGCAAUGCGGCAACCUUUUUCUGUAAUAAAUUACACCUCGAAAUCCAUGAACGGUUUGCCUCAUUGGUACAGGUCGCUUGCAAUCACGCCGUACACAUCUUCAUACAUCAGUCCAGAAUGACUACAUCCUGCUUACAUUCGUCAUUCAUAUAGGCAAUAUUGCGAUAUCAUUACGAUCAUUGAAGGACCUUGAGGAAGAGCGUGCUACAUGCAUAGCCAGAAACGAAGCUAAGUUAGCAGAGCUUGGUCUUUUGCAUUCACCUCCCCAGUCCAACAAAAGUACAAGCACUGGAUUGAAAUCCCGCCGACUUCGUAGAAGGAUCGACCAAGCAGUGCAGCCGGCGGUCGACCUUGUCCGCCCUACAUCACGGCACAGUAGGGGAGAGGUCACAUCCAUUACAGGAACUGUUACCACUGAAGAGUCCGAGGCAUACUGUGAAUUGAAAUCAGCACAUGAGCGCAUGGUAAAGCUGUGACCUUUUGCGCCGCCGAUUAUCCUGAUGAUUUUGCUUGCUUUACUUGUCAAGCAUGAUUCCCUCUUUCUUUGCUACCCAUUCCUUUCGCAUUAUCGAAGGAGGCUAUUCAGAACGUUCCUGAACCUAGUCAAGGUGACCUUCCUGGCCUUCAAGGCAUUCCAGUGGAGGUUCGGGAUAUGGCAUCAAAAAUAGGCUUCGAAAUCGGCAGUAGGCCGUUCCAGCUGUUCUACACAGCAUAUGAGAAUGGAAGUCGGAUUUCAAGCCUGCUUUUAACAGUCCAGGAUCAGCCAAGGCUACCAUGGACAUGUUCAGCACCCUCUACGN
rnacentral:lncRNA from 1 species